CAGUUAUCUUGUUUAAAAUUAUUACGUAACACACGAAACAGUAAAGGGCAUUCGACGUAUGGUAUAGAAUCAAGCGAAACGCGCUUCGUAUACACCUGUAUUCUUUAUCGAAUGCUGGAACUGAAUAAUCGUAAUCUCUGACACGACCACAGAUUGGGCUAAAGUUCAUGGUAUUAUCAGCAGUUCUCUACAUUUUAAUAACAUCUACAUUCUUCAUGUAUCGUAUGUGCAGGACCGUGAGAGAUCCAAGAAUUCUCUAGUAAAAUCGCCUCGGUCAGCCUGGUAUAACGGUGCAGAACUAAUAGCGUAAGUAUACUGUGAAAAUAUCGGCCUUCGGGACUAUCGAGAAACGAACUUUGACAGAAAUUAAGGAUCGGAAUAAAAAGAUGGAGAAGAAAGAAAAAAAAAAA